rnacentral:RNase_P_RNA from 2 species
CGAGUAAGCCAGACAAUCGCUGCUGCACAUAAGUGCAGGAGAGGAAAGUCCGAGCUCCAUAGGGCAGGGUGCUGGGUAACUCCCAGUGGAGGCGACUCUAAGGAAAGUGCAACAGAGAUAUACCGCCAUCAGUUUUGAUGGUAAGGGUGGAAAGGCGAGGUAAGAGCUCACCAGCACAUUGGUGACAAUGUGGCUAUGUAAACCCCACUUGGAGCAAGAUCGAAUAGGGAGACUUAUGGGGUGGCCCGUCCCGUCUCCGGGUAAGAUCGCUUGAGCCUAAUUGGCAACAAUAGGCCUAGAUAGAUGAUUGUCUAAGACAGAACUCGGCUUAUAGACUUGCUCGCUUU